CUCUUCAAGAUGCAUCUAUCACAUAAUGAACAAUGCGGAGCGGAGCUGAAGUCCGAUGACUGCCAAUCAUCCAAUAGGAUGAGAGCUACUGAAAUUCUAUUGGCGCCGGACUUCAGGAACUAACCUCCUGUCACGAGGAUACAAACAGGCAUGCCGCCACCACCACCACCACCAGUCACAGGCAUGCAGCCACCACCACCAGUCUUCAGGCACCCACAUGAACAGUAUGCUCCCAGGCAUGAGCAAGGUUGGAUUGCUUCAGUUGAGGACCCGGGAGUGAUGCCACCACCAUUGCCAUAUGACCCCUGGCAAGAUUCCUGGCCAGAGGAAUAUUCUUCUUUUGGCUUUGAGGGGGAGCCUCAAAGCCACAAAGGGUCCAUGUAUUUAUCUCCCCAACACAAUCUCAGGGCAGUCAUGGCUUUUACCCACAGACUAUGUCACAAGAAGUGACAACUGGUCACACAAUGGUCAUCAGUGGGACUAUCAAUCCACCCUGAGAGCUCCACCAUCCUCAUCACUUGGGAGAGCUCCACCAUCCUCAUCACUUGGGAGAGCUCCACCAUCCUCAUCACUUGGGAGAGCUCCACCAUCUGCAGAUGAAAAUAUAGCUGAAAGUACUCAAGCACCAGCAGAUGCAGCUGAACCUGCCCCCCCCCCCCCGAAAAAGCAGAUGCAGCUGAACCUGCCCCACCAGAAACAGCAGAUGCAGCUGAACCUGCCCCAACAGAAACAGCAGAUGCAGCUGAACCUGCACCUCAAGCACCUAGAAGCCCUGCUGCUCAAGAGCCUAUGGAUGCAUUGUAUUCUCCCCUGGGUGAGGAAUACAUUGCACUCCAGAGGAUGCUCAUAACAAGCUCCAAGAGCAGACAAAGAGGCCAAGAGAGGUUCCACAGGAGCCAAGAGAGGUUCUUCAGGAGCCAAGAGAGGUUACACAAACAUAGCAUAGAGCUGCAGAGGGACAUGGCAGCAUCAUUAAGUGAAAGUGUUCAAAACCAGUCACAGAUGAUGCAAAUUCUGUCUGAUAUGCAGAUGCAGAUGGACAAUAGAUGGCAAGAACAAAAUCAGCUCUUGGGUGUGUUGGUUGAGCACUUUACACACCAGCAGGACACUGCCUCCAGCCUAUCAUCUGUGGCCAUCACACCAGCAGAAACAUCAGAAUCUUCUCAAACCAGGAGAACAAAGCAAUCCACUACAGUCAGCUCCCUCAUCCAAGAAGCCAAAAAAGAAAUAAAUAUUCUUAUAGUUCACCAUAAA